GACGAACGCUGGCGGCGUGCUUAACACAUGCAAGUCGAACGGAAAGGCCCUGCUUUUGUGGGGUGCUCGAGUGGCGAACGGGUGAGUAACACGUGAGUAACCUGCCCUUGACUUUGGGAUAACUUCAGGAAACUGGGGCUAAUACCGGAUAGGAGCUCCUGCUGCAUGGUGGGGGUUGGAAAGUUUCGGCGGUUGGGGAUGGACUCGCGGCUUAUCAGCUUGUUGGUGGGGUAGUGGCUUACCAAGGCUUUGACGGGUAGCCGGCCUGAGAGGGUGACCGGACACAUUGGGACUGAGGUACGGCCCAGACUCCUACGGGAGGCAGCAGUGGGGAAUAUGGCACAAUGGGCGGAAGCCUGGUGCAGCAGCGCCGCGUGCGGGAUGACGGCCUUCGGGUUGUGAACCGCUUUGGCCUGUGACGAAGCGUGAGUGACGGUAAUGAGUAAAGAAGCACCGGCUAACUACGUG
rnacentral:rRNA from 1 species